rnacentral:rRNA from 1 species
AAUCAACGCUGGCGGCGUGCCUCAGACAUGCAAGUCGAACGCGAAAGGUUCCUUCGGGAACCGAGUAGAGUGGCGCACGGGUGAGUAACACGUAGGUAAUUUGCCUUUGGGUGGGGAAUAACAGCCGGAAACGGCUGCUAAUACCGCAUAAUGCAGCGGCUCGACAUCGAGACAGUUGUUAAAGCGGGGGAUCGCAAGACCUCGCGCCUAAAGAGAAGCCUGCGGCAGAUUAGCUAGUUGGUAGGGUAAUGGCCUACCAAGGCGACGAUCUGUAACCGGCCUGAGAGGGCGGUCGGUCACACUGACACUGACAUACGGGUCAGACUCCUACGGGAGGCAGCAGUCGGGAAUUUUGGGCAAUGGGCGAAAGCCUGACCCAGCAACGCCGCGUGAAGGAUGAAA